rnacentral:rRNA from 1 species
CAAUAGCGUAUAUUUAAGUUGUUGCAGUUAAAAAGCUCGUAGUUGGAUUUCGGAUGGGAUUUGCCGGUCCGUCGUUACGAUGUGCACUGGCCAGUCCUAUCUUGUUGUCGGGGACUAGCUCCUUGGAUUCACUUCCUGGGACUAGGAGCUGACGAGGUUACUUUGAGUAAAUUAGAGUGUUCAAAGCAAGCCUACGCUCUGAAUACAUUAGCAUGGAAUAACACGAUAGGACUCUGGCUUAUCUUGUUGGUCUGUGAGACCAGAGUAAUGAUUAAGAGGGACAGUCGGAGACAUUCGUAUUUCAUUGUCAGAGGUGAAAUUCUUGGAUUUAUGAAAGACGAACUUCUGCGAAAGCAUUUGUCAAGGAUGUUUUCAUUAA